GCGUGCCUAUACAUGCAAGUCGAGCGGACAGAUGGGAGCUUGCUCCCUGAUGUUAGCGGCGGACGGGUGAGUAACACGUGGGUAACCUGCCUGUAAGACUGGGAUAACUCCGGGAAACCGGGGCUAAUACCGGAUGGUUGUUUGAACCGCAUGGUUCAAACAUAAAAGGUGGCUUCGGCUACCACUUACAGAAGGGACCCGCGGCGCAUUAGCUAGUUGGUGAGGUAACGGCUCACCAAGGCAACGAUGCGUAGCCGACCUGAGAGGGUGAUCGGCCACACUGGGACUGAGACACGGCCCAGACUCCUACGGGAGGCAGCAGUAGGGAAUCUUCCGCAAUGGACGAAAGUCUGACGGAGCAACGCCGCGUGAGUGAUGAAGGUUUUCGGAUCGUAAAGCUCUGUUGUUAGGGAAGAACAAGUACCGUUCGAAUAGGGCGGUACCUUGACGG
rnacentral:rRNA from 1 species